UACGGAGGAUUCGAGCGUUAUCCGGAUUUAUUGGGCUUAAAGGGUCCGUAGGCGGACUGUUAAGUCAGCUGUGAAAGCCUACGGCUCAACUGUGGAAUGGCAAUUGAUACUGGUGGGCUUGAGUAUACAUGAGGUGGACGGAAUUUGUGGUGUAGCGGUGAAAUGCUUAGAUAUCGCAAAGAACACCAGUUGCGAAGGCAGCUCACUGGGCUAUAACUGACGCUGAUGCACGAAGGUGUGGGUAUCAAAAAGG
rnacentral:rRNA from 1 species